rnacentral:lncRNA from 1 species
GCCCUGGCCGCCUGGACCGACAUUGACAAACUAGAGUUUUGUCGGGAGAGGUUUACUCCUCGACCAUUCGCAAUUUUCUUAUCGGGACCAAAUGCGUCCCCUAUGCCCAAAUUCAAACCGAGUGAGCUGUCUUCCUUUCUCCGAACAGCCAUAACGUCCCACCCGCGUUUAACCGACGUACGGUACACCAAGGCGGGUUUACUUCUUCUAAAAACUGACAAUAGUGAUUGUGCGAAGGAAAUCCUUCAACUACAGACAUUAGGUUCAACGCAGGUGACGGGCCGCCUGGCAGCAGACUGUGUGCAAACCGAGUUUCUG